UCUUGACAUCCACGGAAUUUAGCAGAGAUGCUUUAGUGCCUUCGGGAACCGUGAGACAGGUGCUGCAUGGCUGUCGUCAGCUCGUGUUGUGAAAUGUUGGGUUAAGUCCCGNAACGAGCGCAACCCUUAUCCUUUGUUGCCAGCGGUUCGGCCGGGAACUCAAAGGAGACUGCCAGUGAUAAACUGGAGGAAGGUGGGGAUGACGUCAAGUCAUCAUGGCCCUUACGAGUAGGGCUACACACGUGCUACAAUGGCGUAUACAAAGAGAAGCGACCUCGCGAGAGCAAGCGGACCUCAUAAAGUACGUCGUAGUCCGGAUUGGAGUCUGCAACUCGACUCCAUGAAGUCGGAAUCGCUAGUAAUCGUGGAUCAGAAUGCUACGGUGAAUACGUUCCCGGGCCUUGUACACACCGCCCGUCACACCAUGGGAGUGGGUUGCAAAAGAAGUAGGUAGCUUAACCUUCGGGAGGGCGCUUACCACUUUGUGAUUCAUGACUGGGGUGAAGUCGUAACAAGGUAGGCGUAGAUGA
rnacentral:rRNA from 1 species